AAUUCUAUAAUUUAUUUAAAAUAUUAAAUUGCAAAUUUAAAAAAACUUUUAGUUAGAAUUU
rnacentral:tRNA from 1 species